rnacentral:rRNA from 1 species
AACGAACGCUGGCGGCAUGCCUAACACAUGCAAGUCGAACGAGACCUCAGGGUCUACUGGCUCAUGGGUGCGUAACGCGUGGGACCCUGCCCUUAGGCUCGGAAUAACACUCCGAAAGGGGUGCUAAUACCGGAUAAUGUACUCGGAUCACAGAUUGAUCGUCUUUGUAUGAGCCCGCGUUGUUCUAGCUUGUUGGUAGGGUAAAAGCCUACCACGGCGUGGAUCCAUAGCUGGUCUGAGAGGAUGAUCAGCCACACUUGGACUGAGACACGGCGCAGACUCCUAUGGGAGGCAGCAGUGGGGAAUAUUGGACAAUGGGCGAAGUCCUGAUCCAGCAAUGCCGCGUGAGUGAUGAAGGCCUUAGGGUUGUAAAGCUCUUUUACCCGGGAUUGUAAUGACAGUACCGGGAGAAUAAGCUCCGGCUAACUCCGUG